AUGGGGUGCAGCAGGCGCGAAACCUCCGCAAUGCUCGAAAGAGCGACGGGGGGACCCCCAGUGCCGUGGCAUCGCCACGGCUUUUCCGGAGUGUAAAGAGCUCCGGGAAUAAGGGCUGGGCAAGGCCGGUGGCAGCCGCCGCGGUAAUACCGGCGGCCCGAGUGGUGGCCGCUAUUAUUGGGCCUAAAGCGUCCGUAGCCGGGCCAGUAAGUCCCUGGCGAAAUCCCACGGCUCAACCGUGGGGCUUGCUGGGGAUACUGCUGGCCUUGGGACCGGGAGAGGCGGAGGGUACUCCUGGGGUAGGGGUGAAAUCCUAUAAUCCCAGGAGGACCGCCAGUGGCGAAGGCGCUCCGCUAGAACGGGUCCGACGGUGAGGGACGAAGGCCAGGGGAGCGAACCGGAUUAGAUACCCGGGUAGUCCUGGCUGUAAAGGAUGCGGGCUAGGUGUCGGGUGAGCUUCGAGCUCGCCCGGUGCCGAAGGGAAGCCGUUAAGCCCGCCGCCUGGGGAGUACGGCCGCAAGGCUGAAACUUAAAGGAAUUGGCGGGGGAGCAC
rnacentral:rRNA from 1 species